GAUGAACGCUAGCGGCAGGCUUAAUACAUGCAAGUCGAGGGGCAGCACGGUUAGCAAUAACUGGUGGCGACCGGCGCACGGGUGCGUAACACGUAUACAAUCUACCUUAAACAGGGGGAUAGCCUUUCGAAAGAGAGAUUAAUACCCGUAAUAAAUUGAACGGCAUCGUUUGAUUUUGAAAGCUCCGGCGGUUUGAGAUGAGUAUGCGUCUGAUUAGCUAGUUGGUGAGGUAACGGCUCACCAAGGCGACGAUCAGUAGGGGAUCUGAGAGGACUAACCCCCACACUGGUACUGAGACACGGACCAGACUCCUACGGGAGGCAGCAGUAAGGAAUAUUGGUCAAUGGAGGCAACUCUGAACCAGCCAUGCCGCGUGCAGGAUGACGGCCCUAUGGGUUGUAAACUGCUUUUAUACAAGAGAAAACCCUGGUACGUGUACCAGGUUGAUAGUAUUGUAAGAAUAAGCAUCGGCUAACUUCGUGCCAGCAGCCGCGGUAAU
rnacentral:rRNA from 1 species